rnacentral:misc_RNA from 1 species
UUCACCAAUUGUUACAUUCUCUUCCUAGCUUACAAGUUCAGUGCAAUGGAUGAAGCAAGUUAAGGAGACUUUUAACAGCAAAACCAAUGAAAGAUCAGAUAAAUGGCAUCUAUGAAGAACCUCACACAACAGAUUAUCGACUUAAUGCAUACAAUCAGGAAGGGGUCUAGGAAAGAGAGUACAUAGGAUUUAUCCCUACACCCAUAACAAACUAGAUAGAGCAACCUAAAUUAUAUCUCCUUGCACUAGCCAUUUAAGGCCCCAAGGCCCAGCCUCCUACCAAAACUGACCAUAUAGAUUCCCUUGUUUAAAGCACCUGCCAAUCAACUUUCAGCUUUAUGAAACGUCUCUCACUGAAAAAGUCCUAGUCAUCCCCGUCACUACUCGUUUGAGAUUCAUCUAUGCCAUACAUAACUUCAUCUACCUCAUCAUCCUCACUAUCAUUCAUCUGCCCCUCGAGUGUUGAUGUCGGACUUUUCUUAUUAUCAGCCUUCCCAAUCUGUGCCAUUACGAGUUGCAAACGGCCAGAUAACUGCAAUAAUGAGUUAAGGGCUACUCCCUUUGACUUGGUAAGCUUGUUCAUCGAAUCUAGAAGAGGCGUCAGUGGUUCCUGCGAUGUAACAAAUUCAUUGUGGUUCACCAAUAUACAGCAUAUCCAUGGAAGAACAUGUGUUCCCAAGCUUGAUCUGGACUGCCAUGCAGCCACCAAGGCUUUCAAAAAGUUGUAAGCAUCAUGUGGUUCCAUGGAUAAAACAGCGGCUUUCAUCUUCUUUUGUGGCACACUAGCAUCAGCACUUAUUCUUUUCAAAAUCUUGGCAUCAAGAAUUGAGGGAGGCAAGAGAUCAUUGUCGCUGCUAAUUAUACCCAAGGAUCUUAACUGGUCCUCCAUGCAAAUUGUGACCUCAUCUUCUGCUUGUGUACCAAUGACAUCUUUGCUAACUGUGGGCUUAAUUCCAGUCUCCACGCCAACCUGAUCAAGAAUCAUGGGCAAAGGAAGUAAUGCACCCUCUGCAUUUGCACGAUCGAGAGCAGUAACCUGACUCUGGGUCUUGGAUGCUUGUUUAGAUUUGCGAGAUUGACUGAAGGGUAGAAGGAUCCCGUCAAGUGAACUUUUUAAUCUGAUAUCCUCCCCAGGCUGCACCAUAACUUUUUCAAAUGAUGGUUUUAUAAGCAAGCCAUAUGCAACAAACAUAUGGCCAGAACCAGAUGUGCCAAUAGAUUGCAAUUUUGCUGAAAAAAUACUAUGCAUGGUUUCUUUAUGUUUCUUCAUUAUUUUCUCAUCUAAAGAUGCAAAUAUCUUUGUGGGCUUCCCAUUGUGCAGUUCCUCAAAGCUCUUUCCAUGCCAAAAGUAGCAAACACCAAUUUCUGAAAUGGCCAAAACACCCAAGCCUGCAUCAUUUGCAGCUCCAGAUUUAAUGUUGUAGCUAUCCAAGAAGACAGCAGGGUGAUCCAUUGCCAGCGAGCAGCAUGCUGAUUUCUUUUUGCUACCAUCUAACUUCCAAACUGCUACAUGUCGGUCACCAACAGCAGAAGAAAGAACAUGUCUCCCAUCUUCAGAGAAAACCAUACACCGGACAGCCCCAGGAUGGCCUGUAAAUUUCUGGAGCUUUUUGUCAUCCAAGCAAUUGAAAACCUUCAACUGAGAAGUUGCUGUUGCUAAUAUUUUCCCAUCUGAUGAAAUGGAUAAAGAUGAUAUUGCUUUAGUGGAAGCUUUAAACUUAUGCAGUAAAUUUCCGGACAUGGAGUCAAUUUUGCAAACUAGUCCAUCAGCACCAGCCGUGUAAAUGAAUGAACCAUGUGAAGGGAAUGAGAUGGCGUUGACACCGCCAGGAUGGCAAUCACUAAAUCUCCAUUUCAGAUGACCUGCAGAUACAUCUAGAGCCAAAAAAUCACCACUUCCUGUACCUAACACCAAUAAUGAAGUUCCAAUCUUCCUUUUUUUCUUUCUGUCACAUGAUAACCACUUCAUGCAAGUAUAAUCCAUUGAAAGAUGACCUCCUGGCUUAUUAAACGAGCUUUCUUUCUCCAUUGACACAAUAUCUGCAAACUCGGUCUGUACCUGACCCUUCACAGUAUCCCAUAUCUUGAUACGGCCAUCACCAGAACUUAUAGCAAAGAAGUCUAACGAAGGACUAAAACAAGUCAAAAUGUCCCUUAUAUUAGCUGUGCCCAUUGCUUGUAACGGAACUUCGAGUACAAACUGGAGCUUCGGGCGACGUAGAAGGUAGAGCUUCUCAACGGACGGUGGAAAACUGGAGCUUCCGGCGAGGGAGAAGGUAGAGCUGCUGAACAGACGGUGGCGCUGAAAAAAGGGAAAUAAUGGCAAAGGAGCAGGGCG